rnacentral:rRNA from 1 species
UACGGAGGGUGCAAGCGUUAUCCGGAUUCACUGGGUUUAAAGGGUGCGUAGGCGGGCAGGUAAGUCCGUGGUGAAAUCUCUGAGCUUAACUCAGAACGGCCAAGUGAUACUGCUGUGCUAGAGUGCAGAAGGGGCAAUCGGAAUUCUUGGUGUAGCGGUGAAAUGCGUAGAUAUCAAGAGGAACACCUGAGGUGAAGACGGGUUGCUGGGCUGACACUGACGCUGAGGCGCGAAAGCCAGGGGAGCAAACGGG